rnacentral:rRNA from 1 species
CGGUGGAGCAUGUGGUUUAAUUCGAAGCAACGCGAAGAACCUUACCAGGCCUUGACAUGCAGAGAACUUUCCAGAGAUGGAUUGGUGCCUUCGGGAACUCUGACACAGGUGCUGCAUGGCUGUCGUCAGCUCGUGUCGUGAGAUGUUGGGUUAAGUCCCGUAACGAGCGCAACCCUUGUCCUUAGUUACCAGCACGUUAUGGUGGGCACUCUAAGGAGACUGCCGGUGGCAAACCGGAGGAAGGUGGGGGUGACGUCAAGUCAUCAUGGCCCUUACGGCCUGGGCUACACACGUGCUACAAUGGUCGGUACAAAGGGUUGCCAAGCCGCGAGGUGGAGCUAAUCCCAUAAAACCGAUCGUAGUCCGGAUCGCAGUCUGCAACUCGACUGCGUGGAGUCGGAAUCGCUAGUAAUCGUGAAUCAGAAUGUCACGGUGAAUACGUUCCCGGGCCUU